rnacentral:rRNA from 1 species
GAUGAACGCUAGCGGCAGGCUUAACACAUGCAAGUCGAGGGGCAGCAUAAACAUUGCUUGCAAUGUUUGAUGGCGACCGGCGCACGGGUGCGUAACGCGUAUGUAACCUACCUCAAACAGGGGCAUAACACUGAGAAACUGGUACUAAUUCCCCAUAACACUUAAGGAGGCAUCUCCUUAGGUUGAAAGUUCCGGCGGUUUGAGAUGGACAUGCGUUGUAUUAGCUAGAUGGUGAGGUAACGGCUCACCAUGGCGACGAUACAUAGGGGGACUGAGAGGUUAACCCCCCACAUUGGUACUGAGACACGGGACCAAAACUCCUACGGGAGGCAGCAGUGGGGAAUAUUGACACAAUGGAGGAAACUCUGAUGCAGCGACGCCGCGUGAGGGA